GUGGGGUUGUGUGAAAAGCUGUUUUUUUGUUGUUGUGAGCAGUGUAAAAACAUUGAAAAAAGUGAAAAAUUAAUUAUUACUAUGUCUAUGUUGUACCAGAGGCUUACAUCAGUAUAUCUAGUAGUCUAGUAACAUAUCACACACGUUUCCACCGGCUAUACUUCACUUACCUAUUCAUUUUUCUUUAUUUUCUUUUUUGACUUUAUCAAAACACAUCUGCCACCUCAUCAUCCCUAACCUCAUCUCCCUCAUCUCACAUUCGUUUUUUAAGAUCCAUUUUCAGGCCACCAUCGAUCUGAGCUUUUAUCUUCAUCUUUUGAAACCCGAAAUACCGAUCCAACUAAACCGCCAUCCGAGAAACCCGACAUCCGAUUUAACCGAUACAAAAAAUGGUCAGAAAUGGACUGCCGUUUAUCAACCGCGGUUGUCGAUCGGAUUGGGGUUUUUGGACCGAAUCCGACCCACGUCCGACCGAUGUCCACCCCUAUCUCAGACUACACAAACACGCGAACAGUUAAACCAAAACGCAAAACACCCAAAACCCUAGUCACAAUAUCGAUCCCUUCUUCCUUAUCGCAAAACUCUUCUUCCAUAGAUUCCUUCUUCUUGUUCCAUAUCGAUUCUUCUUCCUUAUCGCAAUUCGCAAACCUUUCCUUGCAACGAAAAUCUAAACCCUAGUCACACAAAUACCCUGGUUGUGAUUUCUGAAAUCGAAUUGAAGCUCUCUGGUUGUGAUUUAUCAGCUUUAUUCUCUUUCUUGUUUUCAGAUUUACACUUCUCAUUUGUAGGAAUCACACUUCUCAAUAUCUCAUUUGAAGAACAAAUGAAAAAGUAAGCAUACAAGAAAAAAGGAGCUCUCAUGUCAAGAGUCAAUACACCCACUGAACUGAGUUCUCAACUAUAAAAUCUGAGUUAACAAAUAAAAAAGGAAGCAAAAAAAAAAAUGAACUCUCGUGUCAAGAGUCAAAGGGGUGCUUCCAGUUUUGAGCUGCCCCAGAUGAUCAUGGAAGGUCUAAUAAAUUCAUCACAUGUUGUUGAGGAGUGCUUCAGUUGGAUUGUGCAGCCUGAAUAUGAGGAAGCAUCGGAUGAUAGAAAAACUACAUUAUAUUGUCAUGUAAAGUAGAGAAAGCAAUAUCACUCUUCAAGUUUGAGUUCCAUACAAAAUAGUUAUACUUUAGGUGAUAAAAAUGAAAGCUCGUGAAUGUAUACAUCACGGUAAAAUUAGAAGUAGAAAUUUAUCAUGUAAUCUAGUGUAAUACUUGCUUAGGCAAGAUGUUGUCACGAUACAUGGAAUGAGAGUUUUUUGUUUUAUAUUAAACUUUAAAUAGAAUAUUACUUUAUAUA